GCCUGCCGCGUUUUACUACUGAGUGUAAUUGCUCUUGUUUUUCUGUUAGGAACUAUCAAAAAGUUAUCAUUGAAAACACUUAAAAACUACUGCUUAAAACUAAAAUAUUAUUACAUAAAUAAACAUAUACUAAUUAAUUUAACAAAACAUAUCUAUUUACAAAAUAAUUCCGUUAAUAUUGUACGACUUUAAUAAUUAUCACAUUGCGUAGGUAGCCGUACCUACAUUCCACAGCCGAGCCGUUACUCUUCCGGUCGGAUGUUCGACACAAUCCUUCUGCCUUUGUAGCGAGAACACCUCGAUUACUCGUAUAUUUUUUAAAUACGUUUUUUUACUAAUUUUGUCUACGAUAUAAUAAUUUAUAGUGUUGUGUUAUCCCCAUUAAUUGGGGUUCACCCUUCGAGUUCAGCAACCGCUGGACCCACUACCGGUCCUGUACUUACCUGCACCGUUUCACCCUUCGAGUUCUACAACCGCAGGACCCACUACCGGUCCUGUACUUACCUCUACCGCUUCACCUUUCGGGUUCUACAACCCGCUGGAUCCACUUUCGGUCCUGUACUUACCCCACCGUUUCUGCUGCCCUGCUGCGCGCGCCGGUGUACCCCGUGU